CUUUUUGACGGUAUCAAGUUUGCAAUGCCUUUCAGCUAUGGUGUGGUUUAUGGCAGAUUUUUCACAUGUUCUUGAUGGUUUUGAUGAGAUUGUGCAUGCCACACUGGAUAACUGCGAACCAGAUAUAAAUCUUGUAGAUGAUGUCGAAAGGGGGGAGCCAGAUCACAAUUGGGUUGAUGAAGUAGUUAGAAGUGAAGCAAGGGGUGGUGUGGGUGUUGGCAGUGAUCUCAGCCUGAGCUACCUUAGGCCAAGACGAGAAAAAAAAAAGAUUGCACUCUAUUGACUCGAGAAGAGAUUGAAAAUCUAAAAAUAUGGGCUCAAAUUUGUGUCCAGAAAAUAGAAGAAUUGGCCAAGGAGAGUACGACAAUGCACCAGGUUUGAGAUCCAAUGUUUGCUUACUUUUUUUUUUUG